CCAUAGGAAAUAGACUGAAACCU
rnacentral:piRNA from 1 species